UCAUAUCUCACUGCAACCUCAAACUCCUGGGGCUCAAGUGAUCCUCCUGCCUUAGCUUCCCCAGUAGCUGGAACUGUAGGUAUGCAGCACCAUACCCACCUCUUAUUAGCAUUUUACUUUAGCUGGAAAUUAUGUUCCUUAUGCUUCUGGAAUGCCAACCUGAAAAUAGAAGUUGUGAGCCAGGUGUGGUGGUGUACACCUGUGGUCCCAGCUACUUGGGAAGCUAAGGCAGGAGGAUCACUUGAGCCCCAGGAGUUUGAGGUUGCAGUGCACAAUGAUUGCACUCAUUGCUUCUAGUUCUUAAUGUUUGUCAUUAAUGAAUUAGUAUUCUGCCCUAGUCCCUAAAGGUAGUUUUAUACUCUAACUCUUGUUUUGCCUUUCUAGCUGCUAAGAUAGAUAAUGGUUAUUGCAAAGUACACGUUUUUAAAUGGUCUUCAUUGUGGAUUGCUUCUGAGCCGCUGAUGGAAUGAAUACAUUGAGAAGGAAUGUGUCAUUUGGAAUCCAGGACCAUUCAGCAAGGAUAACUGCCUGAUUAUAUGAUUUCGUGACUGAUGCUGAAAUGGAAACCAGCCAAUGCAGAAAUAUGGGGGAAAUGAGAUCUGAAGAAUGCAAGGGGAAGUAGGAAUUCAUUUCUAGCAUUUCCAAACCUGCCCUGUCGUGUCUACUUCACUGCAGUCAGAGGAAAAGAACUGAUUUCAUGGAAAUUACCAGCUAAACCUUACAUCUGUCUUUAAUGUUAUAAGGAAAUAUACUGAAAAGGUAAGUGAGAUGUCUGUUUUGAAGAAACACUCUGUUUCGUAUUUUAAAACCAGUUGUUCCAUAUUAGUAAAGAUGGGCAGCUUCUUUAUUCCUAGCUUUAAAAAGUCUUGACCACAUUUGGUAUGUCUCUCCGUAUUGUGGAGAAAGUAAUGGUUCCAACCAAGAUGGAGCUUUUCCUCUACAUCUCAGCAGCUAAACCAGAAAUUCUGUUGAAGUAUACAAAGUUCCAAUUUUUAUUGUCAUGUUGUGCUCAAAUUCUUUUUAAAAAAACUUUGUUUCAGUUGAUUUUUAGUUUUAUUCCUCACUAUAUAGAAAAAUUUUUUAAUGCUUCAAAGUUCCUCCUAGCACUACAUUUGCAUUAGAUGUAAUCAAAUAAGAGUAAAAUAUAAUUUUGUAAUGGUUUUUUAACAUCCACCUAUAAUGGUUUUGUAUAAUUCAAAAAUUGCUAGAAAUAAGUUAUUCUGCAUUACACACCUAUGUAAUAGGCAUAGUGGUAGGCCCUUUAAUACACAGAUAAACCAGCAUACAGUUCAUGUCCCAAAGGAGUUUAUUUUUAUUGAUACAAUAUAGAUAGAAUUCUAGUUUAAGAAACCAAAAUUUAAUAAAGUGAUGCUAAUUCUAUUCCCCCAUUAACAAUCUAUUCUAAUAACUAGCAUGCUUAUCUGAAUGACAUUCUAUAUGAAAGAACCUCUGUGUGUGCAUACAAGUGCAUGUGUGUAAAAGUAACAUUCACUGAAUACUUUCUGUGUGCCAGAAUUAAAUGUUCUAAAUUCUUUUACAUAUAUAUUUUUAAUUCUCAUAACUAUCCUAUGAGAUAGGUUCCAUAUUAUUAAAGCCUAUUUUCUAAGGAAGGUGGAGAAGUUAACUAAGUUGGUCUAAGUUUGCAUAACUGAUCUACGACCACUGUUUGUAUCCUAUACUCUUAAUUUUGGUGUGAUAUUUAUGUGUAGUACCUGGCUAUAUAAAUACCUAAAACAUUCCAAAUUCUUAGUAAAAUUUGCCUAUUUUUAAAAGAGUACCAAUAGCAUAGAAAGGUUAUAAUAGUAAUUAUGCUUUUUAUGAGACUGACACACUUUCUUCUACACUAAAGAGACAACUAGGCUGUUUAGAGAGCAACAGAUUUUCUUCCUUCAAUAUCUGGCUCCAAGGCAGCCAUUUUGCAUGAUGACCCUUUCCCCUCAAUACACAGACACAAAAUGUAAAGAACUGGAACAGAGAAAGCAGAGCUUAUUACAGUUACAUUUUAUAUUUAGUACCUUGUCUCUCAAGUCCAACCCCUUUUUGCAGCAUGGAGUUUUCUUUAGCUGCUAAAUCAUAGGAAAAUAUGCUGAGACUUUUCCUAGGAUUCUUAAAAAAAAAUAGAUUAGGCUUUGUGCAGAAGCACAGAGAGAAUGCUCAAAGAAUCCCAGGUAGGUAAUUUACUUCCUGUUGUAUGCGUAGUUUAUUUGAAACUUCUGCACGUCUAUCCCUUGUUGUUUUAUACUUCUGUAAAUCUGAUUUUUACCUUUAAUAAACUUUUCUGAAGUGAGUGGUUUAUUUGGUCUCAUUUCCCAUUAGAUUCUGUAUCUUCUUUGUUCACUUUAUGUAUGCUAUUGCCACCCCCUUCAAAACUUGCAAUUUAAUUAAAGUGAAAGCAUCUCCUAUAUACCUACGGUAGUAUCAUUGAGUGUUAAAAUAUACAUAUGCCAAGUCUUUGCUUUUAGCUCAAUUAAGGUUCGACCCAAUAUUAAAACUUCACAAAUUUUUAAGGAAAAAAUCAGAAGUAAAUCAACAUGUGAAGUUUAAUUAUAUAUCUCAAACAAUUGUGGCAGAAAAAAAAAUCUGUCCUAGUGAAAUCAGAUUAACUGGUAUUCUGUGAAUACCAGAGGAACAAUUUUGACCAUAUUUCUUUCAGAUCACAGGUUUUCAAA